rnacentral:rRNA from 1 species
GGGCCCGCACAAGCGGUGGAGUAUGUGGUUUAAUUCGAUGCAACGCGAAGAACCUUACCAGGGUUUGACAUCCUGCGAAUCUCUUGGAAACGAGAGAGUGCCUUCGGGAGCGCAGUGACAGGUGGUGCAUGGCUGUCGUCAGCUCGUGUCGUGAGAUGUUGGGUUAAGUCCCGCAACGAGCGCAACCCACGUCUUUAGUUGCCAGCAUUUAGUUGGGCACUCUAGAGAGACCGCCGGUGAUAAACCGGAGGAAGGUGUGGAUGACGUCAAGUCAUCAUGCCCCUUACAUCCUGGGCUACACACGUACUACAAUGCUACGGACAAAGAGCAGCAAGUUCGCGAGGACAAGCAAAUCUCAUAAACCGUGGCUCAGUUCAGAUCGUAGGCUGCAACUCGCCUACGUGAAGGAGGAAUCGCUAAUACUAG